rnacentral:rRNA from 1 species
CCCUUAGAUGUCCUGGGCCGCACGCGCGCUACACUGACAUGUUCAACAAGCCUCCUAGUUCGACAGGAUUUGGGAAAUCUUUGAACGCAUGUCGUGAUAGGGAUAGAUCAUUGCAAUUAUUGAUCUUGAACGAGGAAUUCCUAGUAAACGCGAGUCAUCAGCUCGCAUUGAUUACGUCCCUGCCCUUUGUACACACCGCCCGUCGCACCUACCGAUUGAGUGAUCCGGUGAAUAAUUCGGACUGCGGCAUUGACCGGUUCCCGAUCGUUGCUGCGGAAAGUUUAGUGAACCUUAUCACUUAGAGGAAGGAGAAGUCGUAACA